GAUGAACGCUAGCGGCAGGCUUAAUACAUGCAAGUCGAGGGGUAGCAAGAUUGUAGCAAUACAAUUGUUGACGACCGGCAAACGGGUGCAGAACACGUACACAACCUUCCUACAAGUGGGGAAUAGCCCAGAGAAAUUUGGAUUAAUACCCCGUAACAUAGCGAUGUGGCAUCACAUUGCUAUUAUAGCUUCGGCGCUUGUUGAUGGGUGUGCGGCUGAUUAGAUAGUUGGCGGGGUAACGGCCCACCAAGUCUACGAUCAGUAGCUGAUGUGAGAGCAUGAUCAGCCACAUGGGCACUGAGACACGGGCCCGACUCCUACGGGAGGCAGCAGUAAGGAAUAUUGGACAAUGGACGCAAGUCUGAUCCAGCCAUGCCGCGUGAAGGAUUAAGGUCCUCUGGAUUGUAAACUUCUUUUAUAAGGGACGAAAAAAGGUCUUUCUAGAUCGUCUGACGGUACCUUAUGAAUAAGCACCGGCUAACUCCGUGCCAGCAGCCGCCGUAACAC
rnacentral:rRNA from 1 species